UGUAGGCUCUGUGCUCUAACCGUAUAGGUCCUAGGCUCUGUGCUCUAACCGUAUAGGUCCUAGGCUCUGUGCUCUAACCGUAUAGGUCCUAGGCUCUGUGCUCUAACCGUAUAGUUCUCUGUAGGCUCUGUGCUCUAACCGUAUAGUUCUCUGUAGGCUCUGUGCUCUAACCGUAUAGGUCCUAGGCUCUGUGCUGUAACUGUAUAGGUCCUAGGCUCUGUGCUCUAACCGUAUAGGUCGUAGGCUCUGUGCUCUAACUGUAUAGGUCCUAGGCUCUGUAGGCUCUGUGCUCUAAUCGUAUAGGUCCUAGGCUCUGUGCUCUAACCCUAUGGGUCCUAGGCUCUGUAGGCUCUGUGCUCUAACCGUAUAGGUCCUAGGCUCUGUGCUCUAACCCUAUAGGUCCUAGGCUCUGCUCUAACCCUAUAGGUCCUAGGCUCUGUAGGCUCUGUGCUCUAACCCUAUAGGUCCUAGGGUCUGUGCUCUAACCCUAUAGGUCCUAGGCUCUGUACUCUAACCCUAUAGGUCCUAGGCUCUGUGCUCUAACCCUAUAGGUCCUAGGCUCUGUGCUCUAACCCUAUAGGUCCUAGGCUCUGUAGGCUCUGUGCUCUAACCCUAUAGGUCCUAGGCCUAUAGGCUACGUUUGGAGUUAUUUGGCCAUUUUAGUUGAUUCAAACCUUAUCAAAACAUAUAGGCCUAUGGACUAGGCUACAUGUGUGCAACUAUGAUUUGAAAAACUCGCCAAAAAAAGGCAUGCGCUGUUUCUUGCCUUACUGCACACGCUGGGCAUCAUUCCCAAGUGAUAUUGUCACCCAUCAGACUAUUCUUCAUUUAGUCUUGUCUUUACAUAUACUAAAUAAUAUAUGUGUGAAAUGAGUUGCACCGGUCUGAACAGGGGCAGGGGGGAAACAAAUGUCAUCUAUGCACUUAAAUAAUGAAUAAAAUGUUUAUAAAGUCCAUUUUGUUUAUAAAUUAUGAUAGAUUUAAGCAACUGCUGCUUGUCUCGUCUGCACUUGUCCAAUAUCACUUCACUUUCAUGCGCAUAUCACGUGUGGCAGCUGUGAUCAGCCGGCCUCGUCCCCUACCAGCCAUCACUCACCUGCACUGACCAGUCUGAGUAGACUUUGCAAGUUCACUGUCCUGCAGCCUCUGAGUGUCAGGGAGGGGAAAAUGGAGCACCGCUUCGCAACAGGCAUGCUCGCCUGGAAUCAUGGGCCAGCGAAUCCAGGCCAGUGAUACUUGGCCUGGAAUCGUUUUGUUAAAUGUUUGUAUCGUGACAAACCUACUAUAAUCCUGUUGUAAAGCGAAGCAAUGUUCUUAAGGUUCUUAAUAAUAGGAAAGCCGUUUUGGAGAAGCCUAGUCACCGUAACAGCCCUAACUCUGGCCCUCUACUCUCACAUCCAGCACUCUGAAUCCCAGCAAGACACCUCACCUCUCUCAAGGCCUCAGUCUCACCCUCCCUCCCAGCCAUCCCUCCCUCCCAGCCGUC
rnacentral:lncRNA from 1 species